UACGGAGGGUGCAAGCGUUAUCCGGAUUCACUGGGUUUAAAGGGUGCGUAGGCGGGCCUGUAAGUCCGUGGUGAAAUCUCUGAGCUUAACUCGGAAACUGCCAUGGAUACUAUGGGUCUUGAAUACUCGGGAGGUGAGCGGAAUAUGUCAUGUAGCGGUGAAAUGCUUAGAUAUGACAUAGAACACCAAUUGCGAAGGCAGCUUGCUACAGAGUUAUUGACGCUGAGGCACGAAAGCGUGGGGAUCAAACAGGAUUAGAAACCCCAGUAGUCC
rnacentral:rRNA from 1 species